rnacentral:rRNA from 1 species
GACGAACGCUGGCGGCGUGCUUAACACAUGCAAGUCGAACGGUAAGGCCCUUCGGGGUACACGAGUGGCGAACGGGUGAGUAACACGUGGGUGAUCUGCCCUGCACUUCGGGAUAAGCCUGGGAAAAUGGGUCUAAUACCGGAUAGGACUCCGGACUGCAUGGUCUGGGGUGGCAAGCGUUUGCGGUGUGGGAUGGGCACGCGGCCUAUCAGCUUGUUGGUGGGGUGAUGGCCUACCAAGGCGACGACGGGUAGCCGGCCUGAGAGGGUGACCGGCCACACUGGGACUGAGAUACGGCUCAGACUCCUACGGGAGGCAGCAGUGGGGAAUAUUGCACAAUGGGCGCAAGCCUGAUGCAGCGACGCCGCGUGAGGGAUGACGGCCUUCGGGUUGCAAACCUCUUUCAGCAUCGACGAAGCGAAAGUGACGGUAGGUGCAGAAGAAGGACCGGCCAACUACGUGCCAGCAGCCGCGGUAA